rnacentral:rRNA from 1 species
GAACGCUGGCGGCAUGCCUUACACAUGCAAGUCGAACGGCAGCACGGGAGCAAUCCUGGUGGCGAGUGGCGAACGGGUGAGUAAUAUAUCGGAACGUGCCCAGUCGUGGGGAUAACGUAGCGAAAGCUACGCUAAUACCGCAUACGAUCUAUGGAUGAAAGCGGGGGAUCGCAAGACCUCGCGCGAUUGGAGCGGCCGAUAUCAGAUUAGGUAGUUGGUGAGGUAAAGGCUCACCAAGCCGACGAUCUGUAGCUGGUCUGAGAGGACGACCAGCCACACUGGGACUGAGACACGGCCCAGACUCCUACGGGAGGCAGCAGUGGGAAUUUUGGACAAUGGGCGCAAGCCUGAUCCAGCAAUGCCGCGUGCAGGAUGAAGGCCUUCGGGUUGUAAACUGCUUUGUACGGAACGAAACGGUGAGCUCUAAUACAGUUUGCUAAUGACGGUACCGUAAGAAUAAGCACCGGCUAACUACGUG